rnacentral:rRNA from 1 species
AAGCAGCUUGCUGCUUUGCUGACGAGUGGCGGACGGGUGAGUAAUGUCUGGGAAACUGCCUGAUGGAGGGGGAUAACUACUGGAAACGGUGGCUAAUACCGCAUAACGUCGCAAGACCAAAGAGGGGGACCUUCGGGCCUCUUGCCAUCAGAUGUGCCCAGAUGGGAUUAGCUAGUUGGUGAGGUAACGGCUCACCAAGGCGACGAUCCCUAGCUGGUCUGAGAGGAUGACCAGCCACACUGGAACUGAGACACGGUCCAGACUCCUACGGGAGGCAGCAGUGGGGAAUAUUGCACAAUGGGCGCAAGCCUGAUGCAGCCAUGCCGCGUGUAUGAAGAAGGCCUUCGGGUUGUAAAGUACUUUCAGCGGGGAGGAAGGUGUUGUGGUUAAUAACCGCAGCAAUUGACGUUACCCGCAGAAGAAGCACCGGCUAACUCCGUGCCAGCAGCCGCGGUAAUACGGAGGGUGCAAGCGUUAAUCGGAAUUACUGGGCGUAAAGCGCACGCAGGCGGUCUGUCAAGUCGGAUGUGAAAUCCCCGGGCUCAACCUGGGAACUGCAUUCGAAACUGGCAGGCUUGAGUCUUGUAGAGGGGGGUAGAAUUCCAGGUGUAGCGGUGAAAUGCGUAGAGAUCUGGAGGAAUACCGGUGGCGAAGGCGGCCCCCUGGACAAAGACUGACGCUCAGGUGCGAAAGCGUGGGGAGCAAACAGGAUUAGAUACCCUGGUAGUCCACGCCGUAAACGAUGUCUACUUGGAGGUUGUGCCCUUGAGGCGUGGCUUCCGGAGCUAACGCGUUAAGUAGACCGCCUGGGGAGUACGGCCGCAAGGUUAAAACUCAAAUGAAUUGACGGGGGCCCGCACAAGCGGUGGAGCAUGUGGUUUAAUUCGAUGCAACGCGAAGAACCUUACCUGGUCUUGACAUCCACGGAAGUUUUCAGAGAUGAGAAUGUGCCUUCGGGAACCGUGAGACAGGUGCUGCAUGGCUGUCGUCAGCUCGUGUUGUGAAAUGUUGGGUUAAGUCCCGCAACGAGCGCAACCC